rnacentral:rRNA from 1 species
UACGUAGGUGGCGAGCGUUAUCCGGAUUUACUGGGUGUAAAGGGCGUGUAGGCGGGCUUGCAAGUCAGAUGUGAAAUUCCACGGCUCAACCGUGGAACUGCAUUUGAAACUGUAGGUCUUGAGUGCUGGAGAGGCAAUCGGAAUUCCGUGUGUAGCGGUGAAAUGCGUAGAUAUACGGAGGAACACCAGUGGCGAAGGCGGAUUGCUGGACAGUAACUGACGCUGAGGCGCGAAAGCGUGGGGAGCAA